AUUGAACGCUGGCGGAAUGCUUUACACAUGCAAGUCGAGCGGCAGCGCGGCCUUCGGGCUGGCGGCGAGCGGCGAACGGGUGAGUAAUGCAUCGGAACAUGCCCAGUCGUGGGGGAUAACACUUCGAAAGAAGUGCUAAUACCGCAUACGUCCUGAGGGGGAAAGCGGGGGAUCGCAAGACCUCGCGCGAUUGGAGUGGCCGAUGUCAGAUUAGCUAGUUGGUGGGGUAAAGGCCUACCAAGGCGACGAUCUGUAGCUGGUCUGAGGGGAUGAUCAGCCACACUGGGACUGAGACACGGCCCAGACUCCUACGGGAGGCAGCAGUGGGGAAUUUUGGACAAUGGGGGCAACCCUGAUCCAGCCAUUCCGCGUGAGUGAAGAAGGCCUUCGGGUUGUAAAGCUCUUUCGGCAGGAACGAAACGGUGGGCUCUAACAUAGUCCGCUAAUGACGGUACCUGAAGAAGAAGCACCGGCUAACUACGUG
rnacentral:rRNA from 1 species